GAUGAACGCUGGCGGCGUGCCUAAUACAUGCAAGUCGAACGGACGGACGAGAAGCUUGCUUCUCUCUUGUUUGCGGCACACGUGUGUAUAACGCGUGUAUCACCUCCCUAUCAUACUGGUAUAACUUCGGGACACCGUCGCUAAUCCCGUAUAAUAUUUUGCACCACGUGGUUCAAAGGUGAGUGUCGGUCUUUCUGUCUCUUAUAGCUGGAUCCGCGCUGCAUUAGCUAGUUGGUAAGGUAACGGCUUACCAAGGCAACGAUGCAUAGCCGAGCUGAGAGGGUGAUAGGCGACACGGGAACGGAGACACGGUCAAGACUCCUAAGGGAGGGAGCAGUAGGGAAUCGGACGCAAUGGGCGAAAGCAUGACGGAGCAACGCCGAGUGAGUGAUGAAGGUCUUCGGAUCGUAAAAAUGUGUUAUGAGGGAAGAACAGAUGUGGAAGGAGAUGUGGACAGAGUGACGGUACUGAAUAAGAAAGCAACGGCUAACUACGUG
rnacentral:rRNA from 1 species